GUCAGCAGCCAUAUCAGCUGCAGUUCACACUAGGUAAUUAUAGGGUGCUAAGCAGGUUUGGGCUGGGCCAAUAUUUGGAUGGGAGACCAACUAAGGAAGCUGGAAUGCAGCUGGAA
rnacentral:rRNA from 1 species